ACAGCCACUUUUCUCUGAAACUAUAAGAACUAUACUGUUGAAACUUGGUAAGUACAUGUAUUCUGUGAACCGCAUUAAGAUUUAACACAAAAAUAGAAAAAAAACAAUAAAUUUUGGGGGUUCCCCAUACUUGGAACUGAAACUCAAAAACAAUUUUUUCAUCAAACCCAUACGUGUCAGGGAUCUAUGGAUAGGUCUUGAAAAAUGAUAUUGAGGUUUCUAAUCAUUUUUUUCUAAACUGAGUAGGUUGCGCGAGAGACACUUCCAAAGUGGUAAAAUGGUUGUCCCCCCCUGUAACUUCUAAAAUAAGAGAAUGAUAAAACUGAAAAAAAUAUAUGAUGGACAUUACCAUGCAAACUUCCACCGAAAAUUGGUUUGAACGAGAUCUAGUAAGUAGUUUUUUUUAAUACAAAAAAAAAAAACAAUAAAUUUUGGGUUUUUUCGUCAAACUCAUACGUGUGGGGUAUCUAUGGAUAGGUCUUCAAAAAUGAUAUUGAGGUUUCUAAUAUCAUUUUUUUCUAAACUGAAUAGUUUGCGCGAGAGACACUUCCAAAGUG